UCAAUAAGAAGCUGUGGAAUACCACUUGCACAGGAGUGUUGCACAGCCAAUGGUCCUUCCUUCUUCAGCCGUAUGUCCAAUAACCCAAUAGAUCCAUCUCUAAGACCAUGCCAAUGAGAAAGCAUUCCACUAAACAUACUUCCAUCUUGUUCAUUAACAGGAUUCCUAAGGUAUUCACAUAGCUUGGCAGUCCUAGGGAUCAUUGGCACAGCUAUGUCAAGAAUGGUAGUUUCAACUGUGCAGCCAGUUUCAAGAGACAGAAUGGAUGCUAGAGCUAGCAUUGCAGAUGCAGAAUGAGG
rnacentral:lncRNA from 1 species